UGGCUCAGAACGAACGCUGGCGGCGUGCUUAACACAUGCAAGUCACGGGGGCCCGCAAGGGCAACCGGCGAACGGGUGCGUAACACGUGAGCAAUCUGCCGAUUUCUGGGGGAUAGCCGGCCCAACGGCCGGGUAAUACCGCAUACGCUCGUUGAGGGGAGUCCCUCGGCGAGGAAACCUCCGGGGGAAAUCGAGGAGCUCGCGGCCUAUCAGCUUGUUGGCGGGGUAAUGGCCCACCAAGGCGAUGACGGGUAGCUGGUCUGAGAGGAUGGCCAGCCACAUUGGGACUGAGAAACGGCACAGACUCCUACGGGAGGCAGCAGUGGG
rnacentral:rRNA from 1 species